rnacentral:rRNA from 1 species
AUACGUAGGGGGCGAGCGUUAUCCGGAAUUAUUGGGCGUAAAGCGUACGUAGGUGGUUGCGUAAGCGCAAGGUGAAAGACCGGGGCUUAACUUCGGUGAGCCUUGUGAACUGCGUGACUUGAGUGCAGGAGGGGAAAGUGGAAUUCCCAGUGUAGCGGUGAAAUGCGUAGAGAUUGGGAGGAACACCAGUGGCGAAGGCGACUUACUGGACUGUAACUGACGCUGAGGCGCGAAAGUGUGGGGAGCAAACAGGAUUAGAUACCCUGGUAGUCCACACUGUAAACGAUGAAUGCUAGGUGUAGGGGGUAUCGACCCCUUCUGUGCCGCAGUCAACACAAUAAGCAUUCCGCCUGGGGAGUACGGCCGCAAGGUUGAAACUCAAAGGAAUUGACGGGG